rnacentral:rRNA from 1 species
AGGCAGCAGGCGCGCAAAUUACCCCAAUCCCGACACGGGGAGGUCAGUGCACCAAUCACAAUAACGAUAUAGGGCUCUUUUGGGUCUUCA